AAAUCGAAUCCACUCAAAGUGUUAGAAUAAAGAAUCACUCUAAAAGCACCACAUUGUCUUUCUAAACUCCCAAAGAAAUACAGAUUUCUAAAUACGUCUGGCUAAGGAUUUUGACGGAGAGAAGGCUCCGAGAACACGUGGUUGCAGAAAUGAAGGUGUGGGGGGAAACUUUUGCUCUGAUAAAGUUCCAGAUUCAGAUGUUGCCUGGCAUGGACGUUCAAGCGGGCAGCAGAUGCUGGCAGCUGUCCGGAGCUCGGCUGGGCAGUUGAUGGGAGAGCCCCAUGUGGACCCUCCAAUAUGGCAGCCUUGGAGAAGCUGGACAGCUUACAUGGUGGCCGCCGAGCAUCCUGAUGGCAUCAGGCGGAAGCUGCCUGCCCUUCUGAUCUGGCUUGGAAGUCACCCAGCCUCAUUCCUGCCAACUCUCCUGACCAAGAAGUCUCAGAGCCUGCCCAGACUCCAGAGGAGGUGACAGGGCCCAGCCAUCAAUGAGAGGCAAAUCAAAGAAAGCAGGUCUCGUUUUAGAGGCUUCAGUGUUACUUGAAUUUGUACAAGUGUGGACUCGAAAUAAAAAAAGAAGGCCUUUGCAUCACUGCCUUCUCGGCAGCAGGGGCUGCAGCCUCCAGCAAUCCCAGUUCUGUCAUCAGCUGAAGAUGCGAGGCUGGUGAGUGAGUCACCGGGCCUCACAGAGGGACCUUUCCACCCUCGACUGAUGUGGCCACUUCCCUGUGGCCACUGGGACAACUCUCGUGUGUGUCCCGCAGUGACGUGGAUGCCUCCACUGGAGGCUGUAGGGCUGGCAGGAGGGAGCGACCCUCCUCUCCGAGCCCCCGAUGGCAUCAAGCUGGACCCUUUGGGAUGCUCCCUCUGGCCCCGCCCAGUCCCCUUCCUUCCCCCGCCGCCCCCAGCGCCUCCAGACCCCUGCCCGCGGGGAAGUCCAGAAGCCGCCAGCAUCCUCCAUCCUUCUUGCUGGUGCCAGACAAGGGCCCGGGGGAGAGCAGAACCUCAAGGCCGAGGGAAGAUGGUCAUCCUGGCGUUGGGAGGCCAGUGGUCCCUCUGAGACUCCGUAAGGACCGUCGGCAAAACAUCCCCGGAGUUCUAGGUGGUUUCCAUCGCUCCGAACUUAAAACUUAUUUGCUAUUUUCCCAUGUAGAGCAAAUGCCUUGGCUCCCGGCCAGCCUCUGACCAGCAGCUUCUAAUUAUCCACGUGUGGAGGACAAGGGCAGGGCGGAGACCCAGAAGGGUGUGCUGGACCGUGGGGAGCAAGGGCAGGAAGCCCAGAAACUUCCCUCCUCCCCAGGCCACGGGGAAGCUCUGCAUGUGAGGUCGGCCAGUGUGGGGAGGCCUGCACAUUGUCACUGAGGCCUCAGCCGCCCAAUUCCUGUGACCCGAAAGUACAGCCCUUUAGGGCAGGCCCCCCACCCCACCCCAGGAUGGUGCUACCCAGUGCACCAGCCACUGGGAUAAAGGGGCCCUGGAGUUUCCAUGGCCUCGCACAACCGAAGUUCAUUUCUCACUCUGGACGUGGUCCAGGGGUGAGCCAGCAGAGAGCAUCACUCCACAUGCCCAUCCAGGGACCCAGGCCUCUUCCACCUGUGGUUCUGCAUCCCCAGGGGUUCCGGCUUCUUCCCGGGGAUCCUUGCUGUCCCACCAGCAAACAGGGGAGGCAGGGGAGAAGGCAGACUGUCCUUCACCACCGGGCCUAGAACAGCCCACGUCACCUCUCCUUUGGCAGAACAGGACACCCGGUCCCCCUAGAUGUGGGACACCGGGGCAUCCCGGCUGCCUGUGCCCAGCAGGGAGGGCGAGCCCUGCAUUGUGAGCCUAGACCGUGGGCGCCGGGGGACCCGUUAAAUACUGGGGGAGGUCAACAGCAGGCAGCACUCAGCCAGCAGCCCUGCCUGCUGCGAACACGUCCGGAUGAGAGUCUCAAAGAUUCUGGAGGAGACGCUUUCAGCCUUGAGGGCUCAGACUCAGAUUUCGAAGGCGCACAUCGCUGUGCAGUGUAGACUGAGCGGGAAUCCCCUCUUGAGCCCACCAUAUCCAGCAACGACCCUCCCUGUCUGUGAACUCACUUCUCAUCCUGCAGACCUUCCUUCCAAUGCUUAGGCAGCCUCGGGAAACAGUGGGUUCUCACCCUAUUCACAUCUAGAUUACAGGCAAGGACUUUCCAGUUUAAAAAUGCUACACCCAUGUUUGCUAUGCACACUGAGAAAUCUUGACCUUCAACUUCAUGCAAAUCAGGAAAAGCUCUCUUGCGCAGUUAGCAGCCUGCUCAACGGUGCCCAGCAACUCUGUCGUAAAUUCCAUUUCAGUGGAAAGGAAUUGAGGUCAUCAAAUCUGGUGGUUUUGAAAGCCCCACCCACUCACCCAAAUCCACUGGUCCUCAAUUUGAUACUGGGAACCUGAGGUCACAGAGCCCUGUUAUUGGUCAACAUUAGAACAAUGGAUAAGUUUCAAACCUCCAGUUUGGCCAUCUGCACCAGCAGCACCGCCCCCAAUACAACAUACGCCACAUGUGUAAUUUCAAACCUUCUAGUUGCCAUAUUUUUUUAAGUUUAAAAGAGAGGGGGUAUUAAUUUUAAUAAGAUCUUUUCUUUAACCCAGAAUACCCAAAAUAUCAACCUGGAGUGAAUACAAAACAAUAAAGUGUCACGUUUUGCAUCCUUUAUUUCACACGAAGUCUUCAAAGCCUGGUGUCUGUUUUACGCUUAGCAUCUACGAAUCUGAUGUAUGUUCACACUUCUGCAUCUUAAUUUGGAUGGUAAAUUUUCACCGAAAUUACUCCGUCUUUAUGCACAGUUAGUCCCUAAGAUUUAGAGUGGAAAAGGUGGAUUCAUAUAGCAACCCGAUGCAAACAGGCUUCCGUUACCUUCAUCACUGGCUGCAGUAUUGUUUUCAAGUUCAAAUGAACGAAGAGGAGAUAGAGCUGAGAAUGCGUUUCCGGGUCACACAGGCCGCAUCUCCAGCGCUCAGUGGAGACUGUAUCAGACAAAGUAGCCCUGGAACACGGGCCAAAUCUGCAGUGACCCCAGGACCCUUCAUUACGAGGAAAAUCUGUGAGAAUUGCUAUUUCCCCUAUUUUGUACUGGGAAAAUAACAGAGGCUCUGAGACUGCUCAUUACUCUUAUUUUCCUGCGGUCACGCCUCUGGUUUCCCAGGGCUCUUAUCUGACAAACAGCAGCGUUGUGCCGCCCCCCAGGCUCCCACAGUGGCCUGAGUUACCAGCAGGCACCAUCCCAGGUGGCCAUGAGACACCCCAAAUGGGACCCAGGCAUGAGCGCCUGUGGAUGGCAGGCUAGUGGGUGAAACUCACCAUGUGAGUUUCCUGGGGCUGCUGCCCGGCCACCUAACCCUUCUGGGCUCCUCUCCCCUUGAUCGCACCUGCAAAGACCCCAUUUCACGGGGGGUCUUUGCAAAAGGCCACAUUCACAGGCGCUGGAUGUGCGGACUUGAACGUACCUUCUUAGGGGGACUCGAGCGACAACAGAGCUUCACAAUCAUCUGUGCGCUGACCUUCCAACUGCCCCAAGAGGUCAGUGUCCCAGGACCCCCAUUUCACAGACGGGCAAUGGAGCCCCGGCUGUGGGACCCCUGCCCUGCUUGUCGACGGCCUCCUAGGACUCGGAGCUGGUCCUUCCCCAGAGCCCACGUUCUCAGGGGCUUCCUGGGACUCGGGCUCUUCCAGCUCAGAAACUAGGAAGUACCCUUCUGGCAUAGCCGGUUAAGGAUCUGGCAUUGCUGCAGCUGUGACACAGGUCGCAACUGUGGCUCAGAUUAAAUCUCUGGCCUGGGAACUUGCACAUGUUGCAGGUGUGGCUGAAAAAGAGAAGGAAACUAGGACACAUGUUUUGCAAAACGGCUUGCAAAACCCAGGCCGGGCUGCUCAGGUUUCAGUCUCCCCCGUCAAAUGGCACAGGAGGACAAUUCUGGCUGAUUCCCAAGGCUUUCUAACAGAAUUGUCCAGCAUCCUGGAAAAGGUGACUUGAGAUUUCUGUGCCUCCAACUCAGCCCACUGGAGCACGAGAUGGGAAACUGCAGACUCAACAUGCGAGGGUGAAGUCUUCCCCAGGAGCUGGCGCGGGUGGGCGGCCAGGGCUGGCACGGCUGCCUUACUCCUGCUGAGCGGACGCCCUCCCCCGUCUCAGCCCGGGGCACCCACCUGGCCCCUGAGGCUCAGCUCUCAGCAGUGACACGGAGAAUAAGGCGGGCGCUGGGAUUACCCGGGGAGAAGGAGCCGCCGGGCAAGUCCUCCACGCCAGCGCUGGCAGUGGGAGACCUCUGCAACUGGUCCUGCCCUCCUGGCAGACAGAUUGGGGGUGGGGGCCAGAGGACCAGCUGCCCCCCAGAAGCCACAAGUGGGCAAUUCCUGGGUGAGCUGAAGGCUCUCUGCACAUGGCUGUGGGACGGAGGCUCCUCACCCAGAGCCUGCGGCGAGGGGGAAGCUGAGGCUUUGAUCGCAGGCCUUCCUCUGCCACGGGGCCCCUCCAUCUUUCUGCCUCUCCUUUGGGAUCCCUGGACCACAGGACAGCAGACAAGCCCAGCAUUCUCUCUUCGACCUAAUGAAGCUGUGCUACAUUGCACUGCGCUCGUUCCCGGAGAAAUGAGCCCUGCUCCAAUUACUCCCUUAAGAAAAGCCUCUUAGAAAACACAGGCAAACCAGGCUGUCCUGCUGGCCUGGGAGGGGGAGCUCGGAAACCCCAGCGCCGUCUCCAAACAGACCUGGAGAGCAGCCUGUGUGGAGCUGUGGGUGCUCCGGGAGCAGGGGGGCCCUCGGGAGCUUCUGAAGGCAGCACGGCCCUCCCACAGGAUAGGGGGCUCUUGUCUCGCCAACUGGCAGGUGAAAUUGAGCAUUAAGGGAAAAUUGGCAUGGUCAGGGCAGGGUGGCAGGAAACAGAACAGAGGAAGAGAGAGAGAGAGAGCCUUUCACGAGGUGUGGGUUUGGGCAAUUAGUGGUGGAUCGUAGCCUUGCAGGACGUGGUCCGGGAGCGACCAGUCUGGGUUUGGAAAACAGGGUGGGAUUGAUUUUUAGAGGCUGCUCAGAACCCUUCCCCACCCCACCCCGCCCCCGCCCCCGCCCCCUGCGCCUCCAAAGCAGGAGAAAGAGACACCUUACAUCCAUGGGGCUUCAGAAAGUGUAGGGCUGGGCCCCCCAGGAGGCGACUCGUGGUCUGCAGGAGGUUUGGGGGCGUGCUCCUGGGAAGGGGAAGGAGCAGGAGGAGGCAGGCCUGGGCAGCCCUGCUCGCUGGGCUGGGCUACCGUUUCAGGAGAGGCCUCAGCAGUCCCCACAGAGAGCCCCCUUCAGAGCGGUCCUCGCUGGGGCAAGGGGACUGAGCGUUUAAACCCCCUACUGUUGAUCAGCCAUUGGAUGCGAGCUGCCACGCGAUGUGGUAAAUGUUAUUAAAUCGUGCAAAAAAGCAACUCUACGCAUUGGUCUAAGAAUUAGCUUUGAGACGCAUUUACCUAUCAACUUUUAUGAAACAGUGUAUUUUUUAAGCAAGCCUGUUUUCAUAAUUUGGGGAGUUUUUUUUAGGAUAAAGAUUCAGUUGAGGCUGAAAGAUCAGUUCCUUUUAAGCAGAUGCACUUUUUCGGCGCGGAGCCUCCCCUCCGCACCCAGGGUAGGCAUUGCUAAUCGAUCCCAGAGCACAUCGGUCUCCCUCUCAUUCUCGUGAUGUUCUCUCCGCCUGAAGCCCCCUUCCGGUGCCUUGCCCUGGCUAGGGCUCAGUUUAAAUUCUUCUCCGCAACUACCUUCCCGGCCAUGGCCAAGCUGGCCAGCCGUCCGUUCCCCAUGCUUGCCUCAUCGUAUGUGUCUCACACGGCACUGCAUGUAUUCUUUCUCAUCUGUCUCUCCCAUCGGGUGUAAGCAUCACCAUAGCCCAUGUUAACGUCCUGUUGACCCCCCCAGGGCCUGGCACAAAGACUGGCACGUGGUACAGCUCGUGGUGAGCCUUGCCAGAGUGUCCCCAAGAUGCCUUCCACUCUGCCUCUUGGUGAUUUAGACAUAGGGGUUGAGGAGGGGCCGAGGUUCAGGUGUGCAUCCUUGUCACAGAAAUGAGCCCAAGUACGUCAGACCUCAACCAUCAGAGCAUAUUAUCCCUCUGGCCUGAGAGGCUGGUCCAGGAACAGAGGCUUCUGGCUGUGGUGUAGGCUUGGAUCCCGCGUGGCUCUGACUGUGGUGUAGGCUGGCUAGCGCCGAUUGGACCCCUGGCCUGGGAACCUCCAUAUGCCGCAGGUGCAGCCCU
rnacentral:lncRNA from 1 species